UGGGGAAUAUUGCACAAUGGGCGCAAGCCUGAUGCAGCCAUGCCGCGUGUAUGAAGAAGGCCUUCGGGUUGUAAAGUACUUUCAGUCGGGAGGAAGGUGUCAAGGUUAAUAACCUUGGCAAUUGACGUUACCGACAGAAGAAGCACCGGCUAACUCCGUGCCAGCAGCCGCGGUAAUACGGAGGGUGCAAGCGUUAAUCGGAAUUACUGGGCGUAAAGCGCACGCAGGCGGUUGAUUGAGUCAGAUGUGAAAUCCCCGGGCUUAACCCGGGAAUUGCAUGUGGUACUGGUCAGCUAGAGUCUUGUAGACGGAGGUAGACUUCCAUGUGUAGCGGUGAAAUGCGUAGAGAUGUGGAAGAAUACCGGUGGCGAAGGCGGCCCCCUGGACAAAGACUGACGCUCAGGUGCGAAAGCGUGGGGAGCAAACAGG
rnacentral:rRNA from 1 species